UCUGGUUAAACAUUAGUUCUGGGCAUAUCUGUGAGGGUGUUCCCAGAAGAGAUUAGCAUUUAAAUCAGCAGACUGAGUAAAGCAGAUUGCCCUCCCCAGUGUGGUUGGGUAUCAUCCAACCUGUUGAGGCCUGAGUAGAACAAAAAGGCAGAGGGCAGGUGAAUUCGCUCUCUGUGACUUGCUCCUGAGCUGGGAAAUUCAUCUUCUCCUUCCCUCAACUGGGACUUGCACCAUAGGCUUUCCUGGUUCUCAGGCCUUCAGACUCAGAUUGGAACUUACACCAUUAGCCCUCCAGUUCUCAGGCCUUUGGACUCAGAAUGGAACAACACCAUUGGCGUUCGCGGGUCUGCAGCUUGCAGACAGUGGAUCAUGGGAUGUCUCAGCUUCUGUAAUCAUGAUGGUGACAGCCUGUUGGCGCUGCCUGCAUACUCCAGCGUGGAUGCCACAUCUCCUUCCAGGGCUUAAUCAAAGCCAUUACUCGAGUAGAAUCUUGAAAUUUUCAGAAAGAGGCCCUGUUUAAAUGGAAACAAUGUCCUGGGGAGAUCCACUUUUACCUUCUUCUAAGGUGUGGCUCUGGGCACUCUAAGGAGUGGGUCGCAAGAGCAUUAGGACAUUUCACCCUUUCGGCCUUUGUACACGGAGCCAGAAGAUGCUCAGCACUCGAGUUCCGCACCUUGGAAAUGACCUUGCUCUGAACCUACGCUCCAUCUGACCUCCUAGGCACGUAAUUGGCCUCUGAGCCCUCUUUUGCUUAUCUAGAAAA